rnacentral:rRNA from 1 species
GACGAACGCUGGCGGCGUGCUUAACACAUGCAAGUCGAACGGAAAGGCCCUGCUUUUGUGGGGUGCUCGAGUGGCGAACGGGUGAGUAACACGUGAGUAACCUGCCCUUGACUUUGGGAUAACUUCAGGAAACUGGGGCUAAUACCGGAUAGGAGCUCCUGCUGCAUGGUGGGGGUUGGAAAGUUUCGGCGGUUGGGGAUGGACUCGCGGCUUAUCAGCUUGUUGGUGGGGUAGUGGCUUACCAAGGCUUUGACGGGUAGCCGGCCUGAGAGGGUGACCGGCCACAUUGGGACUGAGAUACGGCCCAGACUCCUACGGGAGGCAGCAGUGGGGAAUAUUGCACAAUGGGCGGAAGCCUGAUGCAGCAACGCCGCGUGCGGGAUGACGGCCUUCGGGUUGUAAACCGCUUUCGCCUGUGACGAAGCGUGAGUGACGGUAAUGGGUAAAGAAGCACCGGCUAACUACGUGCCAGCAGCCGCGGUGAUACGUAGGGUGCGAGCGUUGUCCGGAUUUAUUGGGCGUAAAGGGCUCGUAGGUGGUUGAUCGCGUCGGAAGUGUAAUCUUGGGGCUUAACCCUGAGCGUGCUUUCGAUACGGGUUGACUUGAGGAAGGUAGGGGAGAAUGGAAUUCCUGGUGGAGCGGUGGAAUGCGCAGAUAUCAGGAGGAACACCAGUGGCGAAGGCGGUUCUCUGGGCCUUUCCUGACGCUGAGGAGCGAAAGCGUGGGGAGCGAACAGGCUUAGAUACCCUGGUAGUCCACGCUGUAAACGGUGGGUACUAGGUGUGGGGUCCAUUCCACGGGUUCCGUGCCGUAGCUAACGCCUUAAGUACCCCGCCUGGGGAGUACGGCCGCAAGGCUAAAACUCAAAGGAAUUGACGGGGCCCCGCACAAGCGGCGGAGCAUGCGGAUUAAUUCGAUGCAACGCGUAAAACCUUACCUGGGUUUGACAUGGAUCGGGAGUGCUCAGAGAUGGGUGUGCCUCUUUUGGGGUCGGUUCACAGGUGGUGCAUGCCUGUCGUCAGCUCGUGUCGUGAGAUGUUGGGUUAAGUCCCGCAACGAGCGCAACCCUUGUUCACUGUUGCCAGCACGUUAUGGUGGGGACUCAGUGGAGACCGCCGGGGUCAACUCGGAGGAAGGUGGGGAUGACGUCAAGUCCUCAUGCCCCUUAUGUCCAGGGCUUCACGCAUGCUACAAUGGCUGGUACAGAGAGUGGCGAGCCUGUGAGGGUGAGCGAAUCUCGGAAAGCCGGUCUCAGUUCGGAUUGGGGUCUGCAACUCGACCUCAUGAAGUCGGAGUCGCUAGUAAUCGCAGAUCAGCAACGCUGCGGUGAAUACGUUCCCGGG